AUUGAACGCUGGCGGCAUGCCUUACACAUGCAAGUCGAACGGCAGCACGGGAGCAAUCCUGGUGGCGAGUGGCGAACGGGUGAGUAAUAUAUCGGAACGUGCCCAGUCGUGGGGGAUAACGCAGCGAAAGCUGUGCUAAUACCGCAUACGAUCUAUGGAUGAAAGCGGGGGAUCGCAAGACCUCGCGCGAUUGGAGCGGCCGAUAUCAGAUUCGCUAGUUGGUGAGGUAAAGGCUCACCAAGGCGACGAUCUGUAGCUGGUCUGAGAGGACGACCAGCGACACUGGAACGGAAACACGGGCCAGACUCCUACGGGAGGCAGCAGUGGGGAAUUUUGGACAAUGGGCGAAAGCCUGAUCCAGCAAUGCCGCGUGCAGGAUGAAGGCCUUCGGGUUGUAAACUGCUUUUGUACGGAACGAAACGGUGAGCUCUAAUACAGUUUGCUAAUGACGGUACCGUAAGAAUAAGCACCGGCUAACUACGUGCCAGCCGCCGCGGUAA
rnacentral:rRNA from 1 species